rnacentral:rRNA from 1 species
AUACUGGCCAGAGACCGAUAGCGCACAAGUAGAGUGAUCGAAAGAUGAAAAGCACUUUGGAAAGAGAGUUAAACAGUACGUGAAAUUGUUGAAAGGGAAGCGCUUGCAAUCAGACUUGCACUUGGUGUUCAUCAGGGUCUCGUACCCUGUGUACUUCAUCAAGUUCAGGCCAGCAUCAGUUUGAGUGGUUAGAUAAAGGCUUAGAGAAUGUGGCCCUCUUCGGGGGGUGUUAUAGCUCUAGGUGCAAUGUAGCCUACUUGGACUGAGGACCGCGCUUCGGCUAGGAUGCUGGCGUAAUGGUUGUAAGCGACCCGUCUUGAAACACGGACC